GACGAACGCUGGCGGCGUGCUUAACACAUGCAAGUCGAACGGAAAGGCCCUGCUUUUGUGGGGUGCUCGAGUGGCGAACGGGUGUGUAACACGUGAGUAACCUGCCUUUGACUUUGGGAUAACUUCAGGAAACUGGGGCUAAUACCGGAUAGGAGCUCCUGCUGCAUGGUGGGGGUUGGAAAGUUUCGGCGGUUGGGGAUGGACUCGCGGUUUAUCAGCUUGUUGGUGGGGUAGUGGCUUACCAAGGCUUUGACGGGUAGCCGGCCUGAGGGGGUGACCGGCCACAUUGGGACUGUGAGACGGCGCAGACUCCUACGGGAGGCAGCGGUGGGGAAUAUUGCACAAUGGGCGGAAGCCUGAUGCAGCAACGCCGCGUGCGGGAUGACGGCCUUCGUGUUGUAAACCUCUUUCGCCUGUGACGAAGCGUGGGUGACGGUAAUGGGUGAAGAAGCACCGGCUAACUACGUG
rnacentral:rRNA from 1 species